AAAAUUUAUUGCUGUACAUUUUCUCAUAGCAUUUACUAUGGAAAUACUAAUAGUGCAAAUAUUUAUUUUGGACUUCAUAGCAUUUGAGAAAUCACAAAGCUUGUUUAUGUGCCAGGCACUGGGCUAGGCUCGGGGAACAUGAGGAUGAAAAAGCACAAUCUCUGCUUUUACGGUGCUUACAGUCUAAUAGUAGAAACAGACAUGCAAAAAAAAAUUACAAUACAAUACAAUAAAGUGCUUCCAUGGAGGUAUUUACAAAGUGCGGUGGGAACAGGGAAGGCGGGAAAGAACAUCUGCCUGAAGAAAUCAGGGACAGCUUCACAGAGGAGGUAGCCAUUGAGCUGAGACUUCAUCAAUGAUUAGGAAUUCACCAUGUAGACGGGCAGGCAAAGGGUGUUUCAGGCAAAGGGAACAACAGGUACAAAGACACAGAGGCCCAAGGGGCACUUCAAAGAAGCAAGUAAAGAGGUUUUUCUUGAGCUGAAGGUGCAGUGAGGAAUAGUGGCAGCAUGAGGCCAGACAGACAAGCAGGGAUCAGAUCAAGAAGAGCCUUUUGACCAUUCUUCCAUUUAUUCAGCAAACAGUUACUGAGUGCUUACUAGGUGCCAGUCACUCAGCUAAGUGCUGGGGCUGUAACGGGAAAUCAGACAAACACAUCCUUGCUCUCAUGGAGCUUACAUUCUAGUAGAGAAAUAGACAAAAAGCCAACAAAUAAAUAAAAUACAGACUUAGAAAAUGUCUACAAAAGAAAUAGGGUGCUGAGGCAGAAAAUAGUGUCACAGGGAUAGGCGGUAGUUAGGGUUAUUAGCAAAUGCCUCUUGGAAAGGAUGUAAAACUCACACCUGCAGGGAUAGCGACAAUAGUGUGCUCCAAUGUGAGCACCCACUAUGUGCCAGGCACUGUGCUACACACUUUA
rnacentral:lncRNA from 10 species